CAGAGUAGCAACGUGAUGUAGUAGGAACGACAAAGUGUAGACACCCUAGCCGAAUGCCUCCAAAAUGGUAUACUGGCUCAAAUGACGUUACAUUAUUGUAUGUUAUACAGGUCGACGCUGAAAAACAGCCUGAAAAACCGGAUCAAGCUGCGAACCUCAACGGAGGUGAGCGCGGAGGUGACGGAGCCGACGAUCCAAGUGAAGAACCACAAGGAGGACGCCGCGCAGCCGCAGUCGAACGACAUCCCGCUGAAGGCGCCCCGGCCCACGGUGGACUACACCCGGAGGCGCCCCACGCGGCCGCCCGGGCAGGACGCCCCACCCAGCGGCUGGGCGCUCGCCUCCUUCAAGAACUUCACGAGCCGCACCACGAGGCGCCCGCCGACCACGGAGGCGUCCCCCGUCGCCAUCACCGAGCCGCCUGCCAAAGUCAAGCCCUUCGUCGCUUGGUCCACCAGGCUCCAGAAGAUGACGACCACAGAGAGCACUGCUACAGACAUGACCACAAUGAUGGAAGAUGAAAUGGAAGUGACAACUUUUGCCCCCGACACCUUGAAAUAUGCUAAUGUUGUAAGCAGCUCACCAAGCACCAUCAGUGCCUUCAAAGACUCAUUCAAUAGCAGCAGAGUCAUUGACCAAGUGCCUUCCACAAAUUUGACUCUAAAUAAGACAGUUUCCACAGAAGAAGCAAACACUAUUAGAAUAAGUACAAAUGACAAAAACCCUGCCAAUAGUAAUAGGAAUGAUGAAAAAAUGAAAGAAGACGUUACAAACCCUGAUGGUAAUGAAAAAGUUACGGAGCAAACGGACAGUUUAGAAAAUGAAGGUAGCACAGGUUUACAUGAGUUGAGUGAUGUUGAUGUCAAAAUGGUUGCAAACGAAAACAAAGGCUCCAAAGAUUUUAAUGUCACCUCUACAUCACCAUCAGUAUUAUCAACUUCAAAAAUGAAAAACGAAGUGAUGAGUGACAAAUACACUGAGGCAGAACAAAAUCCCAGUAAUCCUAAAGAAUCGUCUGCCAGUGACGAUUUUGGGAAACCAACUGAAAAGUUUUCAAUUGCCAAUGACGAGGUAGAAUUUGUUGAGGCUUCAAAUGACAGUAAUGCGCACGGGUUGGACGAAUCAAAUGAUCUCAAACCAAAACCUCUGGAAACCGUCUAUCUCACCGAUGUAAAGCCAGAAGUUGUCGCGCCAGUAAAUUCUAUGAAAGAGUCGGAAGUUUCUUCAACGAAUUCCACCUCGAAAGCUAAUAGUUCGGAAACGCAUAUUUCUGUUACUCCCACACCCAUUUCUUAUUACCAAAACAAUUCUAGUCAGUCAAAUGAAUUAAAUACCGAAAUUGAGUUUGGUACUCUCAAAGGUGCGUCUAGUCAAGACCUCGGUGAUACCAGAAAUCACCCACCGACUUCAGAUAUUCCUAAUGGGAUCAAAGAAACCCAGCAAUAUCAUGAGGGAGGCUUGAAUAAAAGUCACCAGUCAGCCUUAGACAUGCUCAACAGGAUAAAAGGAACCAACGAAUACCCAACAGAAACAGAAGGAAUGUUUGAGGUGUCCUUCGACUUGCCUGCUGAUGUUAGUCCGUCCACCGAGAGAAGCAAGCUUCCUGACGUAAGUGUGUCUAAGAAAUACGCCCAGUCAACAGCCAGGGAGCCGUAUUCUACUAGUGAGACUUCAAGUCACUCAUCACCAAGUCAUUUCAAUGAAGAAACUACAUACCAGUAUUCAACGAAUGUACCCAAUGUUUCCGAGGAAGAGAUCCCAGAUUUCGAGUUUUCAUCAAUGAAGCCUCAUCUCAGUUCCGAACUCGGUGAAAACCCACUGAACACUGAUUUAUCUACUACGGAAGACAUGGUCCAAUCUGUGAUGAACUUAACAAGCUCAAUCUCUAGUUUCGAAAUGACACCUCAAGGCGGACUCCCUCAGAGUAUAACACCCUCACCCAGCACCCCCAUGACUACCACAAUGAGUGUUCAGUUUUUGACUCCGGCUUCUGCAAAAACUUCAUUGCCGGAGAAAGACAUUUUUAGCAGAGAAAAGAGCACCACAAUUACUAGUGUGGCUUCUAGUUUGGGAGACAAAACAGGAAAACCUGUUUCAGCUAAGUGGCCUGUGUUUGCCACUUCAGAGACCACCCAUGAGCCCUCGAGCAAAAUUGAGCUAACCACCAUGAAAACUUCAAUCACAACUUCACCUUUCUCUACCACCAUGAAAGUGGUAACAAGCACCAAGAAAAAUGAGAAUAUUAUACCUCCAGUUCCUGAUAAAUUGGACGAGAAUAAUGCCACUGAUGAAGACGCCUACAUCGAAACGGAUAGUGAACAAGACCUCUUUUCACCAACCCCGACAAAAAUUGUGACGACAGCGAAACCCUUUUCAUCGAACGGGACAACUGAAAUGACCGAGGCAGACUUAUGUCCAUCUGCCAUGCUUUGUCCGGUUCCUCUCCAUAUUCAACUUCGAAUUGAAAGCAGCCCGGCGAAAGUUUGUAAAAAUUUGGGCAAGCUCAAAACUUCAAUCAUCAAAAUGUUCCGGACAGGGACUGCCAGGUAAACUUUUAUUUUUUUUCUCUUUUGUUAAGCAAUGCAUCAUUUAAGUGAACUUUUUUAUUGCUUCAUUUGAAAGUAUUGAGGAAAAGUACUUGUUUGUAAUGAGGAUAAUUUUUCAAUUUUUUUAAAUUUUUGUAAUUUUUU
rnacentral:lncRNA from 1 species